UUAAGCGACUAAGCGUACACGGUGGAUGCCCUGGCAGUCAGAGGCGAUGAAGGACGUGCUAAUCUGCGAUAAGCGUCGGUAAGGUGAUAUGAACCGUUAUAACCGGCGAUUUCCGAAUGGGGAAACCCAGUGUGUUUCGACACACUAUCAUUAACUGAAUCCAUAGGUUAAUGAGGCGAACCGGGGGAACUGAAACAUCUAAGUACCCCGAGGAAAAGAAAUCAACCGAGAUUCCCCCAGUAGCGGCGAGCGAACGGGGAGCAGCCCAGAGCCUGAAUCAGUGUGUGUGUUAGUGGAAGCGUCUGGAAAGGCGCGCGAUACAGGGUGACAGCCCCGUACACAAAAAUGCACAUGCUGUGAGCUCGAUGAGUAGGGCGGGACACGUGGUAUCCUGUCUGAAUAUGGGGGGACCAUCCUCCAAGGCUAAAUACUCCUGACUGACCGAUAGUGAACCAGUACCGUGAGGGAAAGGCGAAAAGAACCCCGGCGAGGGGAGUGAAAAAGAACCUGAAACCGUGUACGUACAAGCAGUGGGAGCACGCUUAGGCGUGUGACUGCGUACCUUUUGUAUAAUGGGUCAGCGACUUAUAUUCUGUAGCAAGGUUAACCGAAUAGGGGAGCCGAAGGGAAACCGAGUCUUAACUGGGCGUUAAGUUGCAGGGUAUAGACCCGAAACCCGGUGAUCUAGCCAUGGGCAGGUUGAAGGUUGGGUAACACUAACUGGAGGACCGAACCGACUAAUGUUGAAAAAUUAGCGGAUGACUUGUGGCUGGGGGUGAAAGGCCAAUCAAACCGGGAGAUAGCUGGUUCUCCCCGAAAGCUAUUUAGGUAGCGCCUCGUGAACUCAUCUCCGGGGGUAGAGCACUGUUUCGGCAAGGGGGUCAUCCCGACUUACCAACCCGAUGCAAACUGCGAAUACCGGAGAAUGUUAUCACGGGAGACACACGGCGGGUGCUAACGUCCGUCGUGAAGAGGGAAACAACCCAGACCGCCAGCUAAGGUCCCAAAGUCAUGGUUAAGUGGGAAACGAUGUGGGAAGGCCCAGACAGCCAGGAUGUUGGCUUAGAAGCAGCCAUCAUUUAAAGAAAGCGUAAUAGCUCACUGGUCGAGUCGGCCUGCGCGGAAGAUGUAACGGGGCUAAACCAUGCACCGAAGCUGCGGCAGCGACGCUUAUGCGUUGUUGGGUAGGGGAGCGUUCUGUAAGCCUGUGAAGGUGUACUGUGAGGUAUGCUGGAGGUAUCAGAAGUGCGAAUGCUGACAUAAGUAACGAUAAAGCGGGUGAAAAGCCCGCUCGCCGGAAGACCAAGGGUUCCUGUCCAACGUUAAUCGGGGCAGGGUGAGUCGACCCCUAAGGCGAGGCCGAAAGGCGUAGUCGAUGGGAAACAGGUUAAUAUUCCUGUACUUGGUGUUACUGCGAAGGGGGGACGGAGAAGGCUAUGUUGGCCGGGCGACGGUUGUCCCGGUUUAAGCGUGUAGGCUGGUUUUCCAGGCAAAUCCGGAAAAUCAAGGCUGAGGCGUGAUGACGAGGCACUACGGUGCUGAAGCAACAAAUGCCCUGCUUCCAGGAAAAGCCUCUAAGCAUCAGGUAACAUCAAAUCGUACCCCAAACCGACACAGGUGGUCAGGUAGAGAAUACCAAGGCGCUUGAGAGAACUCGGGUGAAGGAACUAGGCAAAAUGGUGCCGUAACUUCGGGAGAAGGCACGCUGAUAUGUAGGUGAAGCGACUUGCUCGUGGAGCUGAAAUCAGUCGAAGAUACCAGCUGGCUGCAACUGUUUAUUAAAAACACAGCACUGUGCAAACACGAAAGUGGACGUAUACGGUGUGACGCCUGCCCGGUGCCGGAAGGUUAAUUGAUGGGGUCAGCGCAAGCGAAGCUCUUGAUCGAAGCCCCGGUAAACGGCGGCCGUAACUAUAACGGUCCUAAGGUAGCGAAAUUCCUUGUCGGGUAAGUUCCGACCUGCACGAAUGGCGUAAUGAUGGCCAGGCUGUCUCCACCCGAGACUCAGUGAAAUUGAACUCGCUGUGAAGAUGCAGUGUACCCGCGGCAAGACGGAAAGACCCCGUGAACCUUUACUAUAGCUUGACACUGAACAUUGAGCCUUGAUGUGUAGGAUAGGUGGGAGGCUUUGAAGUGUGGACGCCAGUCUGCAUGGAGCCGACCUUGAAAUACCACCCUUUAAUGUUUGAUGUUCUAACGUUGACCCGUAAUCCGGGUUGCGGACAGUGUCUGGUGGGUAGUUUGACUGGGGCGGUCUCCUCCUAAAGAGUAACGGAGGAGCACGAAGGUUGGCUAAUCCUGGUCGGACAUCAGGAGGUUAGUGCAAUGGCAUAAGCCAGCUUGACUGCGAGCGUGACGGCGCGAGCAGGUGCGAAAGCAGGUCAUAGUGAUCCGGUGGUUCUGAAUGGAAGGGCCAUCGCUCAACGGAUAAAAGGUACUCCGGGGAUAACAGGCUGAUACCGCCCAAGAGUUCAUAUCGACGGCGGUGUUUGGCACCUCGAUGUCGGCUCAUCACAUCCUGGGGCUGAAGUAGGUCCCAAGGGUAUGGCUGUUCGCCAUUUAAAGUGGUACGCGAGCUGGGUUUAGAACGUCGUGAGACAGUUCGGUCCCUAUCUGCCGUGGGCGCUGGAGAACUGAGGGGGGCUGCUCCUAGUACGAGAGGACCGGAGUGGACGCAUCACUGGUGUUCGGGUUGUCAUGCCAAUGGCACUGCCCGGUAGCUAAAUGCGGAAGAGAUAAGUGCUGAAAGCAUCUAAGCACGAAACUUGCCCCGAGAUGAGUUCUCCCUGACUCCUUGAGAGUCCUGAAGGAACGUUGAAGACGACGACGUUGAUAGGCCGGGUGUGUAAGCGCAGCGAUGCGUUGAGCUAACCGGUACUAAUGAACCGUGAGGCUUAACCUU
rnacentral:rRNA from 3 species